AGAAGGCUGAUUUCUGGCAGAGGCGGGGGCGCCGCUUCGGGAGAGCGGGCAGUUCUAGGAGGCCGACCUGGAGAGCCUCCCGGUUCCCCUUCCCCUUUUCCCGGACCCCGCGGGGACACCCCCUCGCCGCCACCCGGGCCUCCCCGAGGGCCCAACUGCGGGUCAGGCGGCCCGGGCCAGCCGAAAGGGAAGUGGGGCUACCCCACAGCCAGGCAGCGGGGCUGGGGUCAGACCCGGGAGCCGGAGGUUGGAGACGUGCGACAGUCACCUGCGGGCAGAUUCCAGAGGGGAGACCCAGGGCUGCAGGGGACGCCCCUUCGUGGCAGCUACCCAGCCUCGGCCCACUGCCAGGCGGAGGCGAGAGGAUCACUUGAGCAUGGACAUUCAAGACCAGCCUGGGCAGCAAAUGUUACGUGGCUGCAUGACCAUACACUUCUGGGUAGAGCCCAGUGGAAGACAAAGAAGACUCAAGGAAUAGCCCUUGAGGUAAUGGAUGAGAAAGUGCUUUGUAAAUUACAAUGCUCUGACACAAGUCAAGUUCAUUCAUCCAUUCCAUAAACCUCUGCCGAGAGCCUGCUUUUGCCAGGCACAGGGCGAAGUGCUGGAAGACAGAAGUGCUGGGUGAAUCCUGCAGGGGGAGAUGGCCAAGGCAAUCGGCAUGGAGCCCCCAGGGCUCAGGAGCUAUACAGAUGGGAUAGAGGGUGUGAGUGCUGGGAAGCCCCAUCCAUGGCUCGCUGGAGAUUAGAGGCCUGUUAAUCUGAAGACAAAGGAAUGAAGACGAAAACGUUUCUGAAAAUGUGGGUGGAGACACCUGGGCCUUUACAGGGUACGCUCCAGAGCUGCUUCCAGGCAGGGACCCCGGCUGAGAGAAGCCAGAGCCAGAGAGUCGCAGGCUUGCUUGCUCUUAUCUUCCCUCUGCUGGGGGGGUCGAGGGGAGAUCUGGCCCCUCUGCUCUGCCCUCCUGAUUUCCCGUCUAAGGGAUUUAGGAGACUUUUGCCUUUUCCUAAUCUCUCCCUUUGCAGAAUUUCUGCGAAGUCACAAUCCCAUUUCCAGGCAAAGGUGCUUGGUCAUAAAGAUAAUAAAGAUAUUCAUUCAUGAUGGAGGGGAAGUACACAGUGGUUUCAGCUGCCUGUAGGGCUCCACUUACUCAUGGUGUGUGACAGAUGCUGAGCCCUUCCCCAAAUCUCAUGGAUGGGAAGGAAACCUGGCGCCGCGGGGUGGUCGCGGGAAGCCGUGGCAUGGCUUGGUGAACACAGGCUCGCCGACCCGGGGGCGGAUGCUGAGGUUGCCAUUGUUGGUGGCUGCAUCUGCAGUAGACGGGUCGGGAUGCCGGCCUCAGACCACAGCGUUGCUAAAUGCCAAACCCAAGGCCUCCCCGUCUUUAACACUGCUGGGCAUUCUACAGCGCAAGGAGGCAGCUGGGGCUGGACUGCCCAGUGCCUGCCGUUGACUGUGCGUCUUCUGCCUGUGAGCUAGCCUGCCACACCUGGGGAUACACGGUGGGGAAAUCAAUCAGCUUCCCUCCCUUCUAGAGCUUCAGGUCCGGCGUUGGUGUCUAGAGGCAAGGGGAGGAGGCAGGGAGGCCUCUUCUUUUCUGUCCCCCUUUCUCUUGGCCAAUUUGGAGGAGAUGGUGGGGGACCUGUCUCUCAUCUGACCUCCUGGAAGCCCUGCCUGCUGCUCCAGUGUGGCUCUCCCAGGGCUGAGGCCUGGAACCUAGGGCUGGGCUACCUGGGGUGCUCAGCUCUGCCGCACCCCAGCCCUCCUCGGCUGCAGCCCUGGCUUCUUUUCUUACCCACUGGGAUGGCCCGUGGGACUAACCUUGCAGCCUGCAGGACUAUGGCCCAGAUGACCUUUCCGGAGCAGGGGAAGAGUUCACAGGUCUCAGACCAGGUUGACCCCGAGCCCUCUCUUUCCUGCUUCGCAUAGGGGCGGGCCAAGGGAGGCAGGGACAAUGGCAUUCCUGUUUGCAGGCCUUUGUUCCCGCCAGGAGGGCCCCCGGAGCUAAUAAAAAGGUUUGUGGCUCCGAUGUCUAAGAGGCAG
rnacentral:lncRNA from 1 species